AAAAUUUUUAAAAGACCAAAAGUUUCUCAGAAAAUUAUGUCUAAAAAUUUUAAAUUUGUUGUUUCUUCUAGUUUUGCUCAAAAUAUUCGGAUAAUAAAUUGUUGUUCUUCUUUAUUACUACGUUCGCUGCAUAAUGGAAAGUUUACUAAUGAUGCAGACCAAAACGAAACGGUAUUUCUUGUUUUAUUUUGUAUACGUACAUUAUAAUAAAAUACAGACUGUAUUAAUAAUUAUUACCGUCUUGUGUUGAAUAUGUCUGAAAUUGGUUAUUUGACUAUCUAUUUUUAUUUUGUGUUACAGAAGGAACAGUUUAAUGGUUCUAUUCCAAUAGGUGAGGCAUUGAAAUAGGUGAAACACUGCUUGCAACAAUUUUGAAGGAAUGUCAACUGUAUUCAUGGAUUCUCAUGGUGUUCACCUUUUCACAACAUAAAUUUGGC